rnacentral:rRNA from 1 species
UACGUAGGGGGCAAGCGUUAUCCGGAUUUACUGGGUGUAAAGGGAGCGUAGACGGAAAUGCAAGUCUGAUGUGAAAGCUCGGGGCUCAACCCCGGGACUGCAUUGGAAACUGUGUAUCUAGAGUGUUGGAGAGGUAAGUGGAAUUCCUAGUGUAGAGGUGAAAUUCGUAGAUAUUAGGAGGAACAUCUGUGGCGAAGGCGACUUACUGGACAAUAACUGACGUUGAGGCUCGAAAGCGUGGGGAGCAAAC